GGCGGAUGUGCCCAAGUGGA
rnacentral:tRNA from 1 species